rfam:Oryza glaberrima chromosome 3 Oglab03_0002_21, whole genome shotgun sequence.
UUUAAGUGCAACUAUGAGUUUCUGUGCCCAACUUUGAACAUCCGUCUUAUUUGAAAAUUUUUUAUAAUUAGUAUUUUUGUUGUUAUGAGAUGAUAAAAACAUGAACAAUACUUUACUUGUGACUUAUGUUUUUAAAUUUUUAAAAAAAUUUCAAAUAAGAUGGACGAUCAAAAUUGGGCCCCGAAAACCAUGGCGACACUUAAA